ensembl:lncRNA
GUAUCAGAUAUGUCACACUACCUAAGGAAAGAAGACAAAAGAACACGUAGCUUUUCUUGUUGCAAACGAAAGAAUUAACUUCAGAAUCCGCCCUCCACCUGAUGUUUCCCAUAGCCAAAUCAAUCUAGAUGUGAGUUUUUCUUUGUGACAUUUCCACCUCUUGCUAGAUACGGACAAAACUGCGGAGGAAGCGCCUGGCAGCAGCGGCUCAAGGAGAGACGGGGGGAAAAAAGAGGAGUUUGCCGCACUUGCGUGACUUCUCUAGAAAGAGCUGCCCAGCGCUGCGCGGAGGUCUCUUCACCUCACGCCGGUCCUUCCACACGCACGGUUUGUUCUCGGCCAGGGAGGCGAGGACAAAGUCACCGCACGGGAAGCGACGGUGCUAAGCAAACCCUCCACCACAGCCCCGGCUCGCCCCCGGCGGGCCGCUCCCUGCCCGCCUGGGCCCCCGAGGCCGAGGAGGGGGGACCACGGCCUGGCCUCGGAGACCCAAACCCCGCUCCGGGCUCCCACCUCCGCCGGCCCCCUGAGGGGCUUUGCGGGCCCGCCGCCGACAUGGCGGACGCCGGCGCGAGCUCGCCCUCGGCCCGCGCCGUCGCCUAGGCGAUGGGCCGCGCGCUACGAGGCGGGGCCAGGGCGUGGCCUCAUUGGUUCCCUUUUCCCCGUCGGGAUGAUGGGGGGGGGGGGGGGGGGGGGGGGGCGGGAACGGAACGACGAGGGAGCUGUGGCUAUAAAUAAACCGCGCUUCCUGAUUGGCCGGGGGGAAAAAUGGUCGCACCACGUGACUCUCCAUCUAAAAAUUCCAAGAUGGCGGAUCCCGUCACGGGCUGAGUCCGUUGGUGGCGCGCGCGCCGCGGUCUCCGCGCCGGGGCCAUCACCGCACGGCUUCCCCGCCUCGCCCGCCGCCACCCAGGAUGUGCAAAUUAAUGGAACUGGAAGAUCUUGAACAUUUGGGAUAGCAGAGACCUGCAGGGAUUAGAAAUUACACUUAAGUAAUUUUCUCCUGAAUUUGACGCAUAACAUGAAAGAGCAUUCCAGGUCUCUAAAAAUGCAAGACAGGCAGAGGAACUUGGAGAGUAGUAGUGCUGAGACACUUGGGGUAGAGAGAAACAGCCAAUUAAAGAAGUUUUUUUUAUGAAAUACAGUAAGGAAGACCUCUUUGUUCAACAGCAUCUACUUGGGCGUUAUUCUGCAAACCAGGGAAGUACCUUUAUAAAGCAGGGCCCAUCAUAAGUGAUGGUGGUGGUAUUUAAGUCUUAGAACUGGUUUUGCUGCCUUAUUGGAAAGGAACACAAAUAUCUGAGCAUGAUAAGAGCUCUUUCAAGAAUGGAUGAGACUACUUGGAAUGUAAUGGCACAGAUAAAUUGUGGACAGAUGCUCAUUGUGCAAGCAGCAAUAGUAGUUACUAUCAUAAUCAUCCCCCGCCCAAGGAAUAUUGCUGUCUCUUUGCUGGAGGUCACCACACCCUCAGAGCUGCUGGUGGAGCAGUUUGGGGUAACUGCUCCCUGCUCUGCUUUGAGCAGAGUCAGCUGGAUUAAUUUAGAUGGGUUAACUAGCUGGCUUCUGCCAGCAGGCUGACUUCAUGUCUGAAGUGGGUUAG